rnacentral:tRNA from 1 species
AGCGAGGUAGAGCAGCCAGGAGUGCUCGGCGGGCUCAUAACCCGCAGGUCGAAAGUUCAAAUCUUUCCCUCGCUA